rnacentral:tRNA from 1 species
GGCCGGGUGGUGUAGUGGUUAUCACGUCAGCUUUACAUUAUAAACGCUGCAGGUCGCGAGUUCAAUCCUCGCCCUGGUCA